rnacentral:rRNA from 1 species
UAAUACGGAGGGUGCAAGCGUUAUCCGGAUUUACUGGGUUUAAAGGGUGCGUAGGCGGCUUUUUAAGUCAGUGGUGAAAGCCUAGUGCUCAACAUUAGAACAGCCAUUGAAACUAAUAAGCUUGAGUCAAGGAGAGGUAAGCAGAAUUUAUGGUGUAGCAGUGAAAUGCUUAGAUAUCAUAAGGAAUACCAAUAGCGAAGGCAGCUUACUGGCCUUGCACUGACGCUGAGGCACGAAAGCGUGGGGAGCAAACAGGAUUAGAGACCCUGGUAGUCCACGCUGUAAACGAUGAUCACUCGAUAUAUACGCUUAAGUAUGUGUCUGAGCGAAAGCAUUAAGUGAUCCACCUGGGGAGUACGCCCGCAAGAGUG